rnacentral:lncRNA from 1 species
GCAGGAUGAUGGUGAUGGUGACCUUGCAGUUGCAGCGGAUAAAGGUAAAAAGCCGAGCUACUCCGAGACAUCACGGAGGAUCAAGCUGGGACAAAACCUGGACCAGCUGGACCACUUUCACCGACAGAAGGAGCAUGACGUGCUUAAAGCCAGAGAAAAUCUAAAUCUUUGUCGUCAGAAUAUUGAGAGUUUGAUGGCACAGAGGGAUAACGCAGAGAAAGAGAUAGAUCAACAAAAAGCAGCAGACAACAGUGUUGCUGUGUUUCGUUUGCGAGCCAAGCAUAGACAGCUGUGUCAACAACUGCAGGUAGAGGAGGAUCUGGAAGGUCACAUCAUCACUGAGCUGAAGCAACAAGAGUAAGUCCAAAAGAAAAAUGGUCUGACAGCAAGGUUGUGUUGUGACAGCUACAGUACUAUUAUCACAUGGAAAUGCUCAAAACGACGUUUUCUACUAAUAGAAGCAGGUCUACUACUAAAUAGCUAUCAUUUAAUUUUAAUAUUGGAUAAUUUAAAUAAAUUAUUUGAGAAUGAUGUGGGGCAGGACUCAUCAUUUGUGUAUAUUUACCAUGAAACUCAGUGACCUCAGUUUGACUGCUGUUGACUUUUUCAACAAACAUCCAAUUAAGUUUAGGAUAUCAUGUCUACUUUUUAACUAAAUGCCUACUUAAAUACAAAUUGUAUUAUUAUUGCCAUUAUAAUUAACUGAGUGAGUGAAUACAUACAUAUGUACGUAUGAACCCAACCGGUCAUCAUAUUGAGCUGCAUGUUCUGUUUGAAUAUAACCUUUUUUGUCCUGGCUUGUUAGAUUGGAGCUGAAUAAGGUGGAGGUGGAGAUUGGCAGGUUCUCCUCACUCCGGCAGGAGCUGGAGGAGGAGGGGCAGGCUUUCCAGGUCCUUAAGGCCCAGAAGGCAGCGACAAGGUUGCAGCAGGAGAGGAAAGCCAGCAAGAGACUGCAGCUUAGAAUGCAGCAUCUAAAGGAUAAUCAGACAAGCAUGGCUGAAAACAAGGAGUCUGAAGAUCAGAAGAAACUUGAACAGAGCCAGGCAAACCGCAAGGUAGCUGUCAGAUACUUAAAGGAGACCAUGAAAAGGAUGCAACAGCAAGAGGCUGAGAAGGAGCAGCAGACCAGGGAGUUACUGGAAAAGAGGAUGCAGGCGAUCAAGUCACUGAAAUCUAACAUAGAAGCCACACAGGAGAGCUUACGGGUUCGACAAAGCAGAGUGAACGCAAAUGCCCAGAAGACAAAACAGCAACAGAGUGAGAUGAGACAAUCUCUGCAGGCUCAAGGCAUCAACAGUACCAAGCACAUGUACCAACAGAAACAACUAGAGAGGCUAAAGCAACAACAGGCGUAAGUCUUCUAUACCCCCCCCUCCUCUCCUCCUAACCCACGUGCAUGUCCUCCACUCCCACUCCAUGCAGCACUGUGUGGGUGUUUUCUCUUACUGUGUGCUAAGGAAAAUAUGACCCCAUUUCACUAUAAUGCAGAGCUGUUGAUUUGCUCUUCUUAGGGAAUUUGAGGAGAAGCAAAAGUCAAACAGGGUGGCGAUUGUGGCAAAGAUUCUUCAGGAGGAGCAGCUGUUAAAGACCAGAAAGAGUCAGCAGGUACUGCUGCCUAAGCCCCCCGUCACUGACAAGUUCCUUUCUUUGGAGAGGGCGAGAGAGAAGCUCUGGCACUCCCUGAACCCCAGCCCACCAUCAUUCACAGAGGAGAGGAUAAUUGUGAGUGGUUCAUAACAAGUGUGGCAGUCGUGAAAUCAAUAUGAAGAGAUCUGAGCAGCUACGAGCCAAUGCGUGUCUUUUUCAGCAAUAUAGAGAGUUUAGUGACAUCAGCGCCACAUCAUCAACUUCCUUUGACAUCGAGGACCUGGAGGAAGCCACGCUCCAGGAAGUGGACCACCAAAGCUUUCCUGACAGUCUUGCUGAGCCUGAGUUUUCUGGGCUUUGGGAGCAGAACUCCAAGGUGCAGUACCCUGUAAUAACAGCCACUGCCAACUACAAGCCAAUCCCUGCCAGCUGCUAAAAUUAAACACUCAUAAAUCAUGUUCCAAACACAGCAGGCACUUUUUUUUCUGUGGUUGUGUUUCCUGCAUCUCUGUGAGCAGAUGAAUUUCCUGAAAGCAUGUUCAAUAAAUAAUGUCUCUGUACGCCA